rnacentral:rRNA from 1 species
CCUACGGGAGGCAGCAGUGGGGAAUCUUGCGCAAUGGGCGAAAGCCUGACGCAGCAACGCCGCGUGCGGGAAGAAGGCUUUCGGGCUGUAAACCGCUUUCAGCAGGAACGAAAAUGACGGUACCUGCAGAAGAAGGAGCGGCCAACUAUGUGCCAGCAGCCGCGGUGAUACAUAGGCUUCAAGCGUUGUCCGGAUUUAUUGGGCGUAAAGAGUUCGUAGGCGGUCAAGUAAGUCGGGUGUGAAAAUUCUGGGCUCAACCCAGAGACGCCACCCGAUACUGCUUAACUUGAGUUCGAUAGGGGAGUGGGGAAUUCCUAGUGUAGCGGUGAAAUGCGCAGAUAUUAGGAGGAACACCGGUGGCGAAGGCGCCACUCUGGAUCGAUACUGACGCUGAGGAACGAAAGCAUGGGUAGCAAACAGGAUUAGAUACCCUGGUAGUCCAUGCCGUAAACGGUGGGCACUAGGUGUGGGUUUCUAUUACGAAAUCCGNGCCGUCGCUAACGCAUUAAGUGCCCCGCCUGGGGUAGUACGGUCGCGAGACGUAAACUACAAGAAGUAGUAAGGUCGUGAGAGUGCGAGACGCGACGAGGAGAGG